rnacentral:lncRNA from 1 species
CGUCUUAUGAAGGCGGUGAACUAUUCACCGUCUUUAAAGCAAAUACACCCCUGCUCCCCUUACAAGGCCACUCUUACAAGGCCACCUUACCUGUGUACACCCCCGCUCCCCUUACAAGGCCACCCUUACAAGGCCACCUUACCUGUGCCCUCGAUAAGACGGUAAAUGGUUCACCGUCUUAUCCGUGCUGCACUAAAGACGGUGAAUGGUUCACCGUUUUAUCUGUGUAAAAGCCCCCAGUCCAGGACUUAGCCAUUUUUUUGCGGGUUUCUGGAUUUGCACUAAAGGCGGUGAACCAUUCACCGCCUUUAGUGCAAACAGCACCAGGUGCUAAUUUCUGCUCAAUUUUGGCGUCAAUUUCAACAAGUUUGAAGCAAGUUUUUUCACGAUAACAAAUAUUCAAACAAGAAACACAACACGAGUGGAAUAACAAAAUACAAUCAACCGGAUAAACAUAUCAAACAAAACACUUACAAAUAUACAAAUAUGAACUAAAUCAAGUAUUAUAUAAUAUUAUACAAAGUAUGUUCUCUAAAUAAAAAAAAUACAAUCAGUCUCUCGAUCUUCCUCUCCCUCGACGUCCUCGGCCACGUCUACGGCCACCCUGUACAUCGAGCUCAGCAAUAGGUACGUCAUCAAGAGCCUCAAUACCGGCCAUCUGAUCGAGAUCCGCAAUGAUAAUGCCCUCGGNAUAUAUAUAUAUAUAUAUAUAUAUAAAAUACAAAAUAAAUUCGAAUUCGGGUUGGGUUCAGGUUCGGGUCAGGUAUAGUAAAAAUCCAUAUUCGUCGGAUUUUUAUUUUUGAUAUCCAUAUCCGAAUCCAUAUCCAUUUAGUAUCGAAUAUAUCCGUUUUAUUCGGAUUCGAGUUCGGAUUAAAUUUCGGAUAUCCAUACCAUUGGCAUCCCUAUUCCCGCUUUGUGGGAUCUACUUAUACGGUUCGGUUGAAUUUAUGGAAAGCUAAUUGGACUUUUUUCGAAAAUAACCCUGUGAAAUUUCGUAAUUGCCAAAAUAACCCUGUGAAACUUUUAUUUGUAAAACUAACCCUCCUCUUGCCACCUCAGCCGCCAGAUCAGCGUUUCUCACGAAGACGGUGAUUCGUUCACCGUCUUUGGGGACCCAUUUUGAAUGCGGUGAAUGGUUCACCGUCUUCUCUAGGCGUGGACCAUUCACCGCCUUCUCAGCAAUUCCCUGCGUACCCUAAGGUGUCUCGAGAAGACGGUGACUUGUUUACCGCCUUAUUGAGCCGGUGAAUCGUUUACCGUCUUAUCGAGGCUUCAACCAUUCACCGCUUCCUCUGCCUGGAGAAGACGGUCACUCGUUUACCGCCUUAAUAAAGGCGGUGAAUCAUUUACCGCCUUAUCAAGGCGUAAACCAUUCACCGCCUUCUCAGCAAAUCCCCCGCCCAACAGCCCGGGUUUGUGGCAUAGAUAAGACGGUGAAUUGUUCACCUUCUUUUGAGUAAAACUCCCACCCAGCCUAAUUUGGUUAAGUCCUGGUGGCCGGGCUAAAACACCUAUAAGACGGUGAAUCGUUCACCGUCUUAUCUGUUGUACACUAAAGACGGUGAGUGGUUCGCCGUCUUUAGUGCAAACACCACCCAGUCCAGGACUUAGCCAUUUUUUUUCCCGGGUUCUUGGAUUUGCACUAAAAGCGGUGAACCAUUCACCGCCUUUAGUGCAAACAACAUCAGCUGCUGAUUUAAGCUUGAUUUAAAAAAAAAAUUCAACAAGUUUAACGCAAGUUUUUUCACGAAAACAAAUAUUCCAACAAGAAACACAACAUCACGAGUGGAAUAACAAGAAACAAUCAACAGAAUAAAAAUAUCAAAAAAAAACCCCGAGAAAUAUACAAAUAUGCACUAAAUUAAGUAUUAUAUAAUAUUAUACAAAGUCGAAGUUAUCUAAAUCAAAGAUAUACAAUCAGCCUCUCGAUCUUCCUCUCCCUCGACGUCCUCGGCCACGUCUACGGCCACCCUGUACAUCGAGCUCAGCAAUAGGUACGUCAUCAAGAGCCUCAAUACCGGCCAUCUGAUCGAGAUCCGCAAUGAUAAUGCCCUCGGGAUGCUUUGGAAUCGCCUGAGUCUCCUCUGGCUCAAGUCGAUCACCCUCGAUAGUGGCCGGUGUAGAUGCUAGGCAGGCCUGUGAUGAUGACGCGGCAUGACGUCGAGAGUAGACUAAUCUAAAGUGCUCUCGAGAGACUGGCGGCGGAAGCGAGUCCAAGUCCAAUGGCAAGGAAGGAAAUCUUGAAGGGGCGGCGAGUAUAUCUGCAACAUCACUAGGAGAUGGAGAUCGUGACACUCGUAGGCUCGACCUCGAGUAUGAUCCAGUCGAUGUCGGUGAGUGUCUCCUGUGAUGACCCGAUGUCGAGGGUUGACCAAAAUCUCGACCUCCAACAUUAGCAGCGACAGGUAUGGAAGGAAUGUACUCCAGUACUGACUCAAUAUCGACAUCCAUGCUCGCCAAUGUCUCCAUCAUCGCAUCGUAAGAAGGUCGAUCAUGAACUAGCCCUCUGAUGCCCAUUUGAGUCUGUCGUAAUACGUCCACCUGCAUUAUAGAUAAAAACUCACUAUUUGCAAUCUAUAUUAACUAUAAGAUUAAAAAAUAAAUUAACAUAUGAGUGAUCGUACCAAAGCUUUCUCAGUCUGGCCGCGAGGCAGGUAAGUCAAUGGUGGACGCUGUACUGAACGAGAAAUCCAUCUUCUCGUGAUCUGCCAAUACCACUCCAUAUAAAUAGAUGUCGCCUGAACCGGGUCAUCACCGACAAUUGGAUGCUGGUCAAUAGUAGCCUGUAAUCGCUGUCCCCAUCUCUCGAUGUGUGCAAAAUGAAAGUGGGCCCAAUCCUCAUCUGGUCGCCCCUGAGAUGUGAAGCGACGGAUUGUCUCCACGUGAAUUGGUAUAUGCUGCAGGAGACCAAACUGCCGAAGGACUCGAUCGGGCACGUGAAGCUCAACGAUAUGAAAACAAAUUAGCGUCGUCCGCGAUCGCCAUACCGCACUGUCCUGUACACAGAAUGCCGGCAGCACAUCUAUAACAGCAUCUGUGUACGGCCGCCAUGUAAUCUGUGAAAAAGCUAAUAAUAGUCAGCAGAAUGCAUUAAUACGGUUGAAUAUUGAAAAAAUGGUUGCAUUAAUACGUACCUGGGACUCUCGCUGCUGAUCUAGCUCAUCUCCAUAGAACUCAAUAUCGGUCGUCCUAACAUUUGCCCCAAAACGUAAACCGUCGGCGUUCGUCCACCUAAUAUUUGAAAAGUAUGUUAAUUCCAAAUAUAUAUACAGAAAUGUAAUAUGUAUCAUAUUUAAUUGUGUAAAAAAGUGAAAAACUAGGUUAAAACUACGUUACCUAGUUUAAAAUGGGUGUACAUGUUUA